rnacentral:rRNA from 1 species
UACGGGGGGGGCAAGCGUUGUUCGGAAUCACUGGGCGUAAAGCGCACGUAGGCGGAUUGCUAAGUCAGGGGUGAAAUCCUGGAGCUCAACUCCAGAACUGCCUUUGAUACUGGCGAUCUUGAGUCCGGGAGAGGUGAGUGGAACUGCGAGUGUAGAGGUGAAAUUCGUAGAUAUUCGCAAGAACACCAGUGGCGAAGGCGGCUCACUGGCCCGGUACUGACGCUGAGGUGCGAAAGCUAGGGGAGCAAACAGG